rnacentral:rRNA from 1 species
AAAGGGUCGCGAGGCGGGUAGGUAAGUCAGUGGUGAAAUCCUGGAGCUCAACUCCAGAACUGCCAUUGAUACUAUCUAUCUUGAAUAUUGUGGAGGUAAGCGGAAUAUGUCAUGUAGCGGUGAAAUGCUUAGAUAUGACAUAGAACACCCAUUGCGAAGGCAGCUUACUACGCAUAUAUUGACGCUGAGGCACGAAAGCGUGGGGAUCAAACAGGAUUAGAUACCCCUGU